CCAGAAUGGAUGGCCCUUCCGUGGCAGACAAUCUGAGACUGACCAGUGACAAUCCUUGGGAAUAGGCCUUGACAUCUAUGAUUACAGGACCUGUAACUGUGAUAAAAUUGGAGAAUGUUCAUCUUUGUCCUCAUCCCAUCUGGCAGGGCAUCAUGCAUCUGGCCCAGGAUUCAUGUUGAGCACUGGUGACAUGGGACUGAUAUCAGCUGCGACUGUAUAUGGAAAAGGCACUCCCAUUCAGGAUUUUCAAGGCACUCGUAUCUUAAUUAACAGAACUUAUAUCCAAUGAAUACUAAACUCAUUUAAAUUUCAAUAAAAUUAAAUGUCCA
rnacentral:lncRNA from 1 species